GCGCAUGCGCAGUGUGGUCGGUCCUAUGGCGUCGGGCUGAGGAGGCCGCCGAGGACAAGAUGGUGCUGAGCCCGGUGACUGUGCUGUACUUCGCCAAAAGCGCCGAACUUGCAGGCGUCCGCUCAGAGACCAUCUCCGUGCCGCAAGAGAUAAAAUCUCUCCAGCUGUGGGAAGAGAUUGAGAGUCGACAUCCUCGCCUGGCUGACGUUCGAGAUCAGGUGAUCUUUGCCGUGCGUCAGGAGUACGUCCAACUCGGGGACCAGGUCCUCCUCCUCCAGCCGGGCGACGAGAUAGCCAUUAUUCCCCCCAUUAGCGGAGGAUAGGAUCUCUGCGCUGUUUGGACUCCCGACUGUCUGGAGAGGGUGAGAACUAUUAUCGGACUUAAAUUUGGCUCCUCCCGAAGCUUAACUAUCCCAGGCAUAAAGCACCACUAUGAACGGAACUGCAGAAAAACCCAAGGACUUAAUCAGAUUCACCAAUGAAAAACUCUCCGUAGAUGAAGUCUCGCAGUCGGUGAUUUCUCCGUCCUGCGGAGCCGUGUCCCUCUUUGUCGGGACAACGAGAAAUAACUUCGAAGG